AUUGAACGCUGGCGGCAUGCCUUACACAUGCAAGUCGUACGGUAACAGGUCUUCGGAUGCUGACGAGUGGCGAACGGGUGAGUAAUACAUCGGAACGUGCCUAGUAGUGGGGGAUAACUACUCGAAAGAGUGGCUAAUACCGCAUGAGAUCUACGGAUGAAAGCAGGGGAUCGCAAGACCUUGUGCUACUAGAGCGGCCGAUGGCAGAUUAGGUAGUUGGUGGGAUAAAAGCUUACCGAGCCGACGAUCUGUAGCUGGUCUGAGAGGACGAUCAGCCACACUGGGACUGAGACACGGCCCAGACUCCUACGGGAGGCAGCAGUGGGGAAUUUUGGACAAUGGGCGCAAGCCUGAUCCAGCAAUGCCGCGUGCAGGAUGAAGGCCUUCGGGUUGUAAACUGCUUUUGUACGGAACGAAAAGCCCCGGGUUAAUACCCUGGGGUCAUGACGGUACCGUAAGAAUAAGCACCGGCUAACUACGUGCCAGCAGCCGCAGUAA
rnacentral:rRNA from 1 species